rnacentral:lncRNA from 1 species
UCGGGUGUUUUUAAGCUCGGGAUUUCGGGAUUGACCCUUUCGGGAUCCGGGAAUCGUUUUUUUUUUUCGGAUUUCGGGACAUCGGGAUUUACUUUAUUUAAAUUCGGGACCUCGGGAAUUCGUUAUUUUAAGUCCGGGAUUUCGGGAUCAGGACCCCUCCUAUCCCCCUUCUCUUCUGAAAUCAGACUGGGACUUCUCUUAAAAUUGAACUGAAUUUUAAUGUGCGUUGUAAAUAUACAAUUUCUUGGUAUUGUUAUGCGUUUACUUUUCUACAUUGGCUAGAGGUAUAGGGGGAGGGUUGAUAUCUCAUAAACAUGUUUAACCCCGCCGCAUUUUUGCGCCUGUCCCAAGUCAGGAACCUCUGGCCUUUGUUAGUCUUGUAUUAUUUUAAUUUUAGUUUCUUCGUGUACAUUUGGAGUUUAGUAUGGCGUUCAUUAUCACUGAACUAUUAUAUAUUUGUUUAGGGGCCAGCUGAAGG